rnacentral:rRNA from 1 species
GACGAACGCUGGCGGCGUGCUUAACACAUGCAAGUCGAACGGAAAGGCCUCUUUCGGGGGGUACUCGAGUGGCGAACGGGUGAGUAACACGUGAGUAACCUGCCCUUGAUCUUGGCAUAACUUCAGGAUACUGGGGCUAAUACCGGAUAGGAGCUCCUGCUGCAUGGAGGGGGUUGGAAAGUUUCGGCGGUUGGGGAUGGACUCGCGGCUUAUCAGCUUGUUGGUGGGGUAGUGGCUUACCAAGGCUUUGACGGGUAGCCGGCCUGAGAGGGUGACCGGCCAAAUUGGGACUGAGAAACGGCCCAGACGCCUACGGGAGGCAGCAGUGGGGAAUAUUGCGCAAGGGGUGGAAGCCGGAUGCAGCGACGCCGUGUGCGGGAUGACGGACUUCGGGUUGGAAACCGCUUUCGCUCAUGACGAAGCUUUGUGUGACGGUAGUGGGUAAAGAAGCACCGGCUAACUACGUG